rnacentral:rRNA from 1 species
GACGAACGCUGGCGGCGCGCUUAACACAUGCAAGUCGAACGGAAAGGCCUGCUUUCCCUUGUGGAUUGCGGGUACUCGAGUGGCGAACGGGUGAGUAACACGUGAGUGAUCUGCCCCCAACUUGGGUAUAAGCCUGGGAAACUGGGUCUAAUUCCCGAUAGGACUGCAGGGUGGUGCCUGUGGUGGAAAACGAUUUUCUAGUGGUUGGGGAUGAGCUCGCGGCCUAUCAGCUUGUUGGUGGGGUAAUGGCCUACCAAGGCGGCGACGGGUAGCCGGCCUGAGAGGGUGGACGGCCACAUUGGGACUGGGAUACGGCCCAGACUCCUGCGGGAGGCAGCAGUGGGGAAGAUUGCACAAUGGGCGGAAGCCUGAUGCAGCGACGCCGCGUGGGGGAUGACGGCCUUCGGGUUGUAAACUCCUUUCGACCGCGAGGAAGCCACCUGGUUGGAAGGGUGGUGACGGUAGUGGUAGAAGAAGCACCGGCUAACUACGUG